AACGAGGCCGACCUGCGGCUGAGUUACCUGCGGAGGGAUCAUUACCGAGUUUACAACUCCCAAACCCCUGUGAACCAUACCAUAUCGUUGCCUCGGCGGCGCCCUCCCGGGGGACCGCCAGAGGACCCAAACUCUUGCUUUUACAAGUUUGUUCUGAGUGUUGCUGCAAGCAAAAAUAAAUCAAAACUUUCAACAACGGAUCU
rnacentral:misc_RNA from 1 species